rnacentral:rRNA from 1 species
CAGUAGCCACGGUAAUACGUAGGGUGCAAGCGUUAAUCGGAAUUACUGGGCGUAAAGCGUGCGCAGGCGGUUCUAUAAGACAGAUGUGAAAUCCCCGGGCUCAACCUGGGAACUGCAUUUGUGACUGUAGAGCUGGAGUGCGGCAGAGGGGGAUGGAAUUCCGCGUGUAGCAGUGAAAUGCGUAGAUAUGCGGAGGAACACCGAUGACGAAGGCAAUCCCCUGGGCCUGCACUGACGCUCAUGCACGAAAGCGUGGGGAGCAAACAGGAUUAGAUACCCGCGUAGUCCCUGUCUCUUAUAC